rnacentral:rRNA from 1 species
AGUGAACGCUGGCGGUAGGCCUAACACAUGCAAGUCGAACGGCAGCACAGUAAGAGCUUGCUCUUACGGGUGGCGAGUGGCGGACGGGUGAGGAAUACAUCGGAAUCUACUUUUUCGUGGGGGAUAACGUAGGGAAACUUACGCUAAUACAGCAUAAGACCUACGGGUGAAAGCAGGGGAUCUUCGGACCUUGCGCGAUUGAAUGAGCCGAUGUCGGAUUAGCUAGUUGGCGGGGUAAAGGCCCACCAAGGCGACGAUCCGUAGCUGGUCUGAGAGGAUGAUCAGCCACACUGGAACUGGGACACGGUCCAGACUCCUACGGGAGGCAGCAGUGGGGAAUAUUGGACGAUGGGCGCAAGCCGGAUCCAGCCAUACCGCGUGGGUGAAGAAGGCCUUCGGGUUUUAAAGCCCUUUUGGUGGGAAAGAAAAGCAGCAGGUUAAUACCCCGCUGUUCUGACGGUACCCAAAGAAUAAGCACCGGCUAACUUCGUG